GAUGAACGCUGGCGGCGUGCCUAAUACAUGCAAGUCGAGCGAACAGACGAGGAGCUUGCUCCUCUGACGUUAGCGGCGGACGGGUGAGUAACACGUGGAUAACCUACCUAUAAGACUGGGAUAACUUCGGGAAACCGGAGCUAAUACCGGAUAAUAUAUUGAACCGCAUGGUUCAAUAGUGAAAGACGGUUUUGCUGUCACUUAUAGAUGGAUCCGCGCCGCAUUAGCUAGUUGGUAAGGUAACGGCUUACCAAGGCAACGAUGCGUAGCCGACCUGAGAGGGUGAUCGGCCAAACUGGAACUGAGACACGGUCCAGACUCCUACGGGAGGCAGCAGUAGGGAAUCUUCCGCAAAGGGCGAAAGCCUGACGGAGCAACGCCGCGUGAGUGAUGAAGGUCUUCGGAUCGUAAAACUCUGUUAUUAGGGAAGAACAAAUGUGUAAGUAACUAUGCACGUCUUGACGGUACCUAAUCAGAAAGCCACGGCUAACUACGUG
rnacentral:rRNA from 1 species